AUUGAACGCUGGCGGCAGGCUAACACAUGCAAGUCGAGCGGAAACGAGUUAUCUGAACCUUCGGGGAACGAUAACGGCGUCGAGCGGCGGACGGGUGAGUAAUGCCUAGGAAAUUGCCCUGAUGUGGGGGAUAACCAUUGGAAACGAUGGCUAAUACCGCAUGAUGCCUACGGGCCAAAGAGGGGGACCUUCGGGCCUCUCGCGUCAGGAUAUGCCUAGGUGGGAUUAGCUAGUUGGUGAGGUAAGGGCUCACCAAGGCGACGAUCCCUAGCUGGUCUGAGAGGAUGAUCAGCCACACUGGAACUGAGACACGGUCCAGACUCCUACGGGAGGCAGCAGUGGGGAAUAUUGCACAAUGGGCGCAAGCCUGAUGCAGCCAUGCCGCGUGUAUGAAGAAGGCCUUCGGGUUGUAAAGUACUUUCAGUCGUGAGGAAGGUAGUGUAGUUAAUAGCUGCAUUAUUUGACGUUAGCGACAGAAGAAGCACCGGCUAACUCCGUGCCAGCAGCCGCGGUAAUACGGAGGGUGCGAGCGUUAAUCGGAAUUACUGGGCGUAAAGCGCAUGCAGGUGGUUUGUUAAGUCAGAUGUGAAAGCCCGGGGCUCAACCUCGGAAUAGCAUUUGAAACUGGCAGACUAGAGUACUGUAGAGGGGGGUAGAAUUUCAGGUGUAGCGGUGAAAUGCGUAGAGAUCUGAAGGAAUACCGGUGGCGAAGGCGGCCCCCUGGACAGAUACUGGCACUCAGAUGCGAAAGCGUGGGGAGCAAACAGG
rnacentral:rRNA from 1 species